GGGGCCAACAUUAAACAUAAAGAGCUGGUGGCUCUACUGGUUACAUUGUUCUGAAUUUGAAAUUGGACCCGGUUUCAAAUAACCCCCGCUCUAUUUUAAUAUUUUCGCUGUUUUCUAUAAACAAAAAGGCCAAAAAUCCAGUAUUUUCAGGCCAGGGUCUUCGCUUCAAGCUUCGUCUUCGGUGGCUCACGACCUCUCUAUCUCCUCGUCGUGCUCUCGGAUCCAAGCCAUGGUUGUUCUCGUGCUCAGCUCCUCCCUCGUGUCUCAAAGAUCCACUGGUCGUCGUCGCUUGAAACCUCCGCUUGCCACCACGAACUCCGCCGCGGAUCAUCAUAUUCAGGCAAGCUCAGAUCCUCCGUCGUGCUCGUCGUCGCUUUAAGCAUCGCCGUCGUGGAUCGAAGUGGAGCUCCAUCGAAGAACAACAAUGGUGACUUUUAGAUAAUUUUCACAUUGAGUCGCUUAACUGUUGAAUACUCUCAUUUUGGUCCCAAAGUCUUCGAUAUGCAAACCAGGACCUCUCGAAUUGACCCUGAAUCUUUCAAUGGUGCGUGCAAUUGAGCCCUCCGUGUAAUUGCAGGAUUGGUCCCUCAGUUUUUUAUUCUUUUUUCUAGCCCAAAAGUCAU
rnacentral:lncRNA from 1 species